UGAGGAAAUUAUAUAUCUUUUCAAAAAAAAAUAAAAUCAAAUCAAUGAUAAAUUUUAUAAAUAUUAAUAAUUAAAUUUAUAAUUUUUUUCACUAAUACGUGAAUAUUAUUGUAAAAGUUUCACUGUUGUGUAGUUUUCCCUCCAAGAUUCAACUAAAAUGAUAAACCCGUGUACUUAUCAUCUAGCGACCCUCUAUAAAUCAGUCCACCAAAUCCCUUACCAAAACUGUAGUCCUAGAGAGAGAGAGAGAGAGAGAGAUACAGUAAACAGAGAACCAGAGUGAGUCUCCGGACACUUUAAACCCAUUUUCUUGCUCAAAAAGGGGAGAGAGAGAGAGAGAGAGCUUUGAGAAGGGUUGUAGAGCAGAGACUUGUGUUCUAUUUUGCUCUAUUACUUUCUUUGCCAUUGAAGCUCAGGCUUUCUUUUCUAUCUCUUUAACUUCCAAAUAGGCUAGUUUGGUUCCACUUGAACUUUCCCAAAUUUCUCCUAUCUUCAUUUUUUACCAUUUUUAGAAUCUCCACUCCAAAAAGGUUGUUUUUUUAAUUACUUUUUCUUGGCCUAUUAACCCUAAUUUUCCAUUGGUUUCUGAGCAUUAAAGAUGUUUUUGCAUGUGAUGAUUAGUUCAGACUAGUCGAUUAUAGUAGUUCUUGUUUGAUCCUACUAGUAAUUGUUUGCUUGCCUUUUUAAAUUUUAUUCUAAAUUUUGGAUGUUCUUGUUUGAUAUUAGAAUGUCAUUUAAUUUUGACGUUUCUUGUAUUAUCUUGAAUGCAUCUCUGUUUUUGUCCUAUUGAUAUUAGAUUUUGUUCUUAAUUGAGAAUUAUGUGAGAACUUCAUUUUCUCUCUCAACAAGAUUUGCAAGGAAACUUUUUUUGUCAAACCAAACAGAUCAACCUUCCCGUUUGUCAUUUAAUAGGUUGUUAUGGACUUUGUUUAUUUUUUGAGGUUCUGAAGAAGUGAACAUGAUGAACUCAAAGCAAGAAGCCAAAAAUUUAGGGCUCAAAAGGGACCUCGUCUUCUUGAUCUUGUAGUUUCCCAAUGAGUAGAAGAACAGUGAAUCUCUUCACAAGUGUGAUCAUGUUGCAGCCAUUGCAAUCUUUGUGAAUGAACUCAAACUUUUUUCGGCAUUUAAUGAAGACGUGUUCAAUGAUUUGACCAAGCUAUUGACAUUAGAUGAUUUCAGAGAAAAUAAACUACUCGCUAGUUAUACUAAUGCAACAAUACAAGAUCGAAUAUGGUGGUUGUGUCCAGGGACCUUAUCAAGGCAAAUGUUGUUUUCCAUAAUAGGCUGAAUUUCCCCAACUUGGCAGAUUCAAGGUCACAAAACCUCAUUAACCAAAGCCUUUCCAACCCAUAGUAUCCGAUCAAAGCCCUUAGAAGAUGUGGAUGCAUAGUCAACCAACUGUAAAUCAUCCAGCUGUUUUUGGAGGAACUAUGGCUCCCCCAAUGAACCAGUUCUAGCUCACUGGAGCCUCAGGGGUCAUGAUGGUGUCACUAAAACAAUACCCUCUGGAAGUUCAGAUAAGACGAAACAAAUAGUCUGUAGUCUUGAUGGAUGUGCUAGUCCAGUGCUCAACAUAACUGAUGAAUUGCCCAUGAUUGUCAUUCGGACAUUGACUCAAGGGUCAUGUGUACUGACCAUGGGUUUUCGUCCUAUUCUACCAAUGGUACUUCUAGUUGGAACUGAUGUGGGAGACUUCAGAUUGUGAAAAGUUGGCUUGUGGGAGAAGCUUGUUUCAUUAAGUUUCCGAAUUUGGAACGAUGUUUCAAUUUCAACAUUAUUAAAAGCAAGUCAAUUUCAUACCUAAGUUGUAAUAUGAAACUAAAUUUUCAGGAUGACAUGAAAUCUAAUUUAAUCGUUCUAAAAUUCAGUCAGAUUUAGUCAAAGAUUCAUGCGCUGCAGUUAACUAUAUAAAAUGGAGCCCAACUGGUUCUUUAUUUGGUGAGUUAAAUUAUCCUUCAUAUGUAUAUAUAUGGAAGUGUCCAUUUAUUCUUAUAGGGUCUGAAAACACUGAAAUGGAUUGUGAUUUGAAUUGUUGUAAUUGAUUAACAUACCUGUUUUUUGUUCUAAUGAAACGGGAGCUGCGCAUUCUAAUCACAUGUUGCACUUGUACUCUUGCGAUGGUGAAAAUAAGGUUCAGCCCCAUUUAGUGGUCGAGGCUCAUAUUGGCAGUGUAAAUGAUCUUGCUUUUGCUAGUACCAGCGAGAACCUUUCGAUCGUUACCGAUGGUGUUGACAAACUAUUAAGGUGAUUGAGGAGCCUUAAUUAGUUGUAUUGUUUCCCAUCUUAAGCAAUGUAAAUUUAUAAAAGUGUGGGAUGUGGCUACUGGUGCCAAUUUGUUUACUUUUGAAGGGCAUGAGGCUCUUGUAUUUUGUGUUUGCCCUCAUGUCAUGGAAAAUUUUCAUUUUAUUUUUUCAACCUCGACCGAUGGAAAGAGAAAAGCAUGGUUAUAUGAUAUGUCCAGACCGUUGGUUCAUUGUGAUGCAUCAGGUGGAGUAGGGUGCACAAUAAUACUUUAUAGUAUCGAUGGUAAAAGGCUUUUUUCAUGUGGUACAAACCAAAGUGGGGAGACUCGUCCUGUUGAAUGGAUAGAAAAUAGGGGUAUUGAGCAGAUAAACUACAAAGGAUUGCAAAAACGUUCUUUGGGUAUUGUGCAGUUUGAUACAACCAAACACUGCUUCUUGGUUGCCAGAAAUUUGGGAAAUGGAUAGCAAGCAUCUCUUGGCAACUUCUGAUGUUGGGGAAGAUUUAACUGAAACUUCGUGUGCCUGCUUCAACAAGGAGGGCACAUUACUGGCUGCAUCUGUGAGGAACAACAGAAUUAAAAUCUUAGGAACCUUCCAUGGAAUUCAGUCAUUGCAAGCUUAUGAAAUGCAUGUAUCCAUUAUUGCAACUAAGAAUGGGGACCAAAGGAGCUCGAAGGAUGUUCCUAAAACAGUUGAAGUCAUCAAACCAAUAAAGACGUUGAAGAUCAAAGAAAUUCGUCGGCUUGCUCAAAUUCAGCCCUUGCCGCUUCUUGGUUCUGUCAAAAUGGCUAAGAUCUUCAAGCUAAUGUACACGAUUUCCAGUAAUACCAUUUUAGCAAUAGCAUCAAAUGCAAUCCAUUGCUUUGGAGGCAAAGACGAAGAAUCCCCCUCAAUUAUGGCAUCCAAAAUUGGGGACAUUGAUGACAAAUGACUUAACUAAUGUUAGAACUGAAGUGGUCAAGCCCCACUUUGCUUUGUCCAAAAAUGACUUUAACCUCAUUUCAACAUAUGGGGGUCAAGUUUCCUUGUUCAACAUAUCAACAUUUGAGAUUGAUCUUUCCUAAAUAUGGGAAUGCCACAGACAAUGGUGACUUUCAUGGGUCCACUGCCUGUGCCAAUGUAAAAUCCAAGCUGAAGGGUCACUCUAAAUCGAUCAUCAGCCUUGCCUUUCCUUCUCUGCUUAAUUUACCUGUUUCUGUUGCAGCGGACGAUCAGAUAAUUGUGUGGUAGUGCAAUAAAUGGAUACGUAAGAUGCAGUUUCCAGCAAGAAGAUCAACUGGGAAACUGUCAGAAACCGAGGUUCAGUUUCAGCAAGAUCAGAAACACUUCCUUGUCAUGCACGAGUUGAAACUUGCUAUGUUUGAAACAAUCAAGCUGGAAUGUGUUGUGUGGGUAACUUUGUUUUGUGUUUAAAUAAAAUGCUUUUUGGUUUUUAAUUUCCAGUGGACGGUUUGGGAGAUUUUGGCUCUGAUCUCACAUGCAACAUUUCAUGCAAUAGCCAGUUAAUUUACAUGGCCAUUUUGGAUGGAACUGUGUGCAUAUUUUGUGCUUCAAAUCUCCGACCAUGAUGCUUAAUUAAUCCUGCUGCUUAGCUUCUAUCCAGUAACAGUCAUGUGUAUACCCAGUAGUGGUUACUGUGAAUCCAAAUGAAUCAAACUAGUUUGCAUUGGGGUUAACUGAUGGCACUGUUCGUGUGUGCGAACCGCUUGAAUCAGACGGCGAAUGGGGUUCGAAAUCACUAUGUAACAUCUCAAAUGCAUUUCCAGCUAUCGAGUCUAGUUCCAGAUCAACUCCAGCGUGCAACUAAGCAAAUGAAUUAGCUUUCUUGAAAGUUUUAUGGUUAUUGAUAGUUAGUUUCAGGUUCUAUGGCUGUUGAUAAUUAGUUUUAAGCUCUAUGAUUAUUGACAAUUUACUCCAAAUUGGUGUCUUUAGAAGGCAAAUACCAAAAAUAUCGAACAAGGUUUUGAAUUUUCUUCUGA